rnacentral:rRNA from 1 species
UACGUAGGGUGCGAGCGUUGUCCGGAAUUAUUGGGCGUAAAGAGCUUGUAGGUGGUUUGUCGCGUCUGCUGUGAAAAUCCGAGGCUCAACCUCGGACUUGCAGUGGGUACGGGCAGACUAGAGUGUGGUAGGGGGAGACUGGAAUUCCUGGUGUAGCGGUGGAAUGCGCAGAUAUCAGGAGGAACACCGAUGGCGAAGGCAGCUCGCUGGGACGGUACUGACGCUGGAGGCGACGAAAGCGUCGGGGAGCGAACAG